CCUAGGGGAGGCAGCAGUGGGGAAUAUUGGUCAAUGGGCGGAAGCCUGAACCAGCCAAGUAGCGUGCAGGAUGACGGCCCUAUGGGUUGUAAACUGCUUUUAUACAGGAAUAAAGUUAGCCACGUGUGGUUAUUUGUAGGUACUGUAUGAAUAAGGACCGGCUAAUUCCGUGCCAGCAGCCGCGGUAAU
rnacentral:rRNA from 1 species